GCCGACGCUGAUGUCUGGAACCUUCUCUGCUUAACACGCUUUCUGGUGGAGAAGAAACCAUGAAUAUUUUGUUUGUUCUGAUAUUUUUAGCGUGGUUACCGGAUGCCUUCAGUGCAUGGGUAGAACAGACACCAAGAGAAACAACAAAACAAACAGGCGAAAAUCUGAACAUCAAAUGUGUUUUAAAAAAUGCUUCCUGUGACCUGAAUAGCACAUAUUGGUACCGCCAAAGACCCGGUCAAACCAAUAAUGAAAGCUUAUCGAUUGGAGGACGAUAUGCAGAAUCUGUCAACAAGACAGCAAAGUCCUUUUCCUUGCAGAUCACGAAUCUAAUUGCUGAAGACACAGCAACGUAUUUCUGCCAUGCUCUCCACUACCACAGUAACAAAGUUGAGCACAAGCCUAUUCAAAUACGUUGGAAAAUCUUUCACGCGAGAAACUAUGAAUGCUUCGGUCUUUUGGGGAAGAAAAUUGCUGAGCUAAUAGGAAGUAAAUCAUUGUGUACUGCGUACGGAGGUGGCACAAAGCUGACUGUGAAAGCUGGUUUCGCAUUGUUACUCAGAGAUCCUACCGUUGAAGAAAUGUGGAUAAACAAAACUGCCACACUGGUGUGUGAAGUGAUCGCCACAACUCCAGCUGAGGUUUCCAUCUCCUGGACAGUGGGUGGAAAGAAAAGGGCUGAUGAUGUUCAAACAGGACAGGCAACAAAGAUUGGAAGCCAGUACAUGACAGUCAGCCGUUUGACCAGCAGCGUUGCCGAGUGGGACAGCGGGGUAGAAUACUCCUGCUCGGUGGAGGACGAUCAAUUAGAUACUCCGUUAUCAAAACGGACACGAAACACAAAAGCCAAACCAUUGGAACCAAAGGUACGCCUCUUGCCACCGUCUCCAGAGGAGACUCAAACUACAAGUAUCGCUAUACUCACAUGCAUGAUAACGGGAUUCUACCCCGAUGACAUAACCGUUUUGUGGCAGAAGGACGGAGCCGCGUUCUACUCGAACGCGAGCAGCUUCUCAACGGCACUUCAACAGGACAUGACCUUCAGCACGAGAAGCCUCCUUUACUUGACUGAAGCCGAUUGGAAGAAGGACGCAAGAUACUCCUGUGUCGUCACGCACCCACCUUCAAAGUCUACUGUGAAAGCAAACAUCAGGACCCCGAAAGAAGAAUGCCGAGUGGCAGACAUUAAUGCCAUCAUAAAAAAGCCUUCCUUUGAAGAGAUUUGGAUGCUUCGGAGGGCAACAAUUGUGUGCGAAGUGGUUUACACAGAUUUACAUGACGUCACAGUCUCCUGGCGAGUAAAUGGGAGUCGGAGAAUGAACGGAGUAGAGACUCGCGGUCCAGAGUGGAGGGGAAGUAAAUCCGUCAUCAUCAGCAAACUGAAGAUCAGUGCAGAGGAGUGGAACAGUGGAACUGAAUGCCUGUGCUUCGUAGAGUACCGUGAUCUGCCAACACCACUGAAAACCGCCACCAAAAAGUCCAAGGUUACUGAAAUGCACCUCCCUAAAGCCUACCUCUUGUACCCAUCAGCUGAGGAGAUUCUAGCUGAGGAAGCAGCUACCCUAAUUUGCCUGGUGACCGGUUUUUAUCCGGAAGAUAUAUAUGUCGGCUGGAUGGCUAAUGACACCCUUUUGCAUUCGGGAUUCUCCAUCCAGUUUAACAGCGAUACGGAAAACGGCUCUAACUCGCUCACCAGCAAACUGAGGAUCAGCGCAGAAGACUGGGAGAAAGGAACCACCUAUAGCUGUUUGGUUGGACAUCCGUCGCUACAAACAAAUAUAGUCAGAAGUAUUAAUAAAUCGCGGGGUAAACCUACUUUAGUUAACGUGUCAGUUCUUCUAACUGACAGCUUUAAAUCGUGCGUCUAAUCAUCCUUGAUUUGAUGACUAGUAGCUUGGAAGUGUUUCUUUUUUACUGCGUUGCUGUUUGAGUUUCCGAUUUGCUGAUUUACUGUAGAACACGCAUAGCAUUCGCUCUUCGGAUUAUCACAUCGUAAAUGAAAUAUUCCAUUAAUUUCAUCUGUUCGAUAACACUGUGAUGAGCUCUCGAUAGCAUUAGAAUAUUUUUAAC